CAUUUUUUAUGUCAAAUUUUUAACGCUAACCAACAACUGUUUUUGCCUUAUAAAAAUUUUAUUCUGAUCUCAUUACCCACGUUAAGUGAUUUUGAUUUUUUCUCCGGAUGUCGAUAAGAUACAAUGAAAACCGGAAGAAUGAUCUAACAGACUUAUAGCAAUUUUGUUUUUAUAAUAACAAAUUACUCAUGGACGCCCUUGUACAGAAGUAAAACAGAUCUGCCAUAAAUUGAAUUCAAUAUCAAUAAUGGAAUCAUUUAAAUUGUUUGAAAUGCUGAUUGGAUCUCGUGGUAUGUAUUCUCUUCGAAGACAUCAAACUUCCUUGAUAGAGGUUUUUUCAUAAUGAUGUUCUGCAUUCUCAUAGUUCUGAACUUCUAGAGUGUAAAUAAAAGAGAAAACGUUGAUGAAAUGUCAUAAAUAUGAUGAAAAUAAAAAUGUUCAAAA